GAGGAGUGUGAUCAUGGUCUUGAGGUUCAUUGCCCGAGGCAUCUCAUGGGUCUUUGAAUCUGCUCUCGUAAAGCCAAGAGUCUCCUCACCUCCAGCUAUUUGCGUUCACCCCUGGCCCCUGCACACUGCUUGCAGCCCCCACCCCUGAGGGGCACAGCUGGCGCUCCAGACUCAAAUUGGAUCCUGUAUUUCUCCUGGACCAACCUGUCAGGGGCCCCCCUUAACAAGAAGACAGUCAAAACAGUGCCUCCAUCAUCCAGCCCGCCUGUGUCUCCCAGCAAGCCUGCCCACGCACAUGCUUCCCCGCUUUGAUGACCCAGACCUGGGCGCACACCUUCUCCUGGGGAGCCACUUCCUCCCGUCCUUCCCCCUUUCCCUGGUCUGCAGAGCUCUUGUUCUUCACAGGAGCGACCCAGAUCUGGCCUCACAAAGCCAUCCCCCAUCUGCUCUGGUGGUGGUCAGCUGCUCCUGUUCCUGAGCACCUGUGGAUAAGGUGAAAGUUCUCACCUGGCCCUGGUGGGCUGGCUCACUACACACAUGUGGGCAACACG